AAUGAACGCUGGCGGCGUGCCUAACACAUGCAAGUCGAAUGUGCCGCAAGGUGCAUGGCAGACGGGUGAGUAACGCGUGGGCAAUCUACCUUUUCGUGGGGAAUAACGAUCCGAAAGGAUUGGUAAUACCGCAUGAGACCAAUGGCUGGGAUGCUGUUGGUGAAACCUGGGGACCGCAAGGCCUGGGGCGAAAAGAGGAGCCUGCGUCUGAUUAGCUAGUUGGCGGGGUAACGGCCCACCAAGGCUUCGAUCAGUAGCCGGCCUGAGAGGGUGAUCGGCCACACUGGAACUGAGACACGGUCCAGACUCCUACGGGAGGCAGCAGUGGGGAAUUUUGCGCAAUGGACGAAAGUCUGACGCAGCAACGCCGCGUGGGUGAUGAAGGUCUUCGGAUUGUAAAACCCUGUCGUCGAGGACGAAGGUCGGAGUGUUAAUAGCGCUUUGGCUUGACGGUACUCGGAGAGGAAGCCCCGGCUAACUCUGUGCCAGCA
rnacentral:rRNA from 1 species